GAAGACAUAAUUUUCAAUUUUGUACGCGCGUCGAAUUCGAAAAAAAAAAAAAAAGUCAGAAAGUCAUAGUCGGUCAGAACCGGUCUGAGCCGGUCUGACCGACUAAUUUUAAAAAAAAAAGGGAAAGUCAAACUUUGACUUUCCCUGCCAUCCUUUCCGCCCAAUUCUUCCAUUCCUGUUCUUCUUCUUUCCUUUUUCUUUUUUUUCUUUCCUUUCUUAUCAGGAUCUAAUCGGACGAUUUUUUUUUCCUUCGAUUCUUUCGAAAUUUCCGGCGAAAAUUUCGCCUCAUCUUCAUUCCCUUUCCUUCUUCUUCUUCCUCACAAAAAAACCCUAGCCGCGGGGGGAUAGGGGAUCCGAAAAAAAAAAGAGAAAAAAAAAGUCCGGGGAACACAUCCUCUCGGAUCGGAAAAAAGCUCCCUCAUCUCAUCCUCUCGGAUCGAAAAAUUCCCAGAGGGGACCCUCACUUUUGGUCCCGAAGCUCCCACGCCCACAGCUCGCGCCCAAGAUUCAAAAAAAAAAACCACAGCUCACGGCGGAAGAAAACCCGAAGCUCACGAACUCUCUCGAAACUCGGAGCUCGUUCUCACCUCGCGCCACCCCCCAGCUCACUCUCCCAAUUUCCCUCACCUCGGCUCCCUCAGCACGGAUGCGCACGGCCGCCCGGAUUCCCAGCUCGUCCUUCACCCGAAUCGCGUCCUCUCUCCUCGAUUCCCGGCGUUCGUUCUAACCGGGUCGUGUUACAUUUUUUUUUGACGCACAGGGAACGCCAGCAGCCCAGCGAUUCGGCCCACGUCCAGCGGUCCAGUCCAUCAGUCUGAUUUGGCCCAGUCCAGUUAAGCGCCAAUCCAGCCCGGAUCUCAGCCCGUUCGGCCCAGUCCAAAUCCCAGUCCAAUUCGGCCCAAUACAGCCUGGAUCUCGGCCCAGUCCGGUCCAACAAACCAUUACGGCCCAGUCUAGCCCAGCUCGGCCCGAUUCGGCCCAAUCCCUCAGCAGCCCAAUUCGUCCAAAAUCUCCUCUAUUUACAGAACUGCCCCGUUCUUUUCAAACAAGAUCUAUCCCAAGACCAACCUGAGGAAAAAGGUAUGUCGGGAAUGCAAGAAGGUAGGACAUUCCCACCAAAAAUGUCCUAAGAAUAAGGGAAGAGUCGAGGGCUCGGGGAGUCCCUGGUGUAAUGUGCUAUGCUUGGACAAUAUGCAACAUAGUGCUCUAAGUGGAAGAACCAAGAAGGUAAAAACGAAAGGGUCAUUAGAGACAAGAAAGCCAAAUGGCUAGGAAAGGACACAACCAAGGAAAUUCCAAUUCCUGAACCUUCAAAAGGAGAAAAUCCUUAGUGUCAUUGCAAAGAUGUACACGAACUAGAGACCUGUGCCAGUUUCAUCAAGGACAACCGUAACCAAACCACUAAUCAUGAGGAUAAUCCCUUGAAAGAAGAGAUUGAAAAAAAAAACCCUAAAAUGGAGUUCAACAUCCUUGAUGAGCUGAUGGCUCAUGCUAUGAUUCCUAAAACUAAUGAAAAUUGGGAUUUGUUGGGAGAGCCAUCAAGGAAGUUUGACUACAAAGUCAAAUAUUCAGCUCCACUUAAUUUCCACAUGAUUGAACCCAUAGUUCCUACAAGAUGGGGAUUUGAGGACGAAAGUCAUGAAUAACCCUCACGGGUUGAUGCCAAGGCCAUGAAGAGGACAAAUUUCUAGGAUUCUAUCAAGGAUAUUACUUUGACCCUGAUUUUGACCUUAAGAAAUUUGUAAUUGCUAAAGAAUUAACCCUAAUGUAUUUUGGAUUAAGAGGAUGGUUAGUUAAAAGGGACUUAAUAGAUUGAAUAUUUUAUGGAUGAAACUUUUUGCAGGAUCAGAUUUAUGGCAUGUGCGUUCAUAUCUCCGAGUUAGAUGAGGAAGGGUUGCUUGAGAAGUACUCUCAAAAGUAACGCAUCGUGAAUGAUGUUAAUCCUGCGUUUGGUUUGUAAGUAACAUUUUAAAAUCAAAUUUUGAUUUUAAAAAAGAGUUGUAUAAA